GAUGAACGCUUGCUACAGGCUUAACACAUGCAAGUCGAGGGGCAGCAUGGUCUUAGCUUGCUAAGGCCGAUGGCGACCGGCGCACGGGUGAGUAACACGUAUCCAACCUGCCGUCUACUCUUGGACAGCCUUCUGAAAGGAAGAUUAAUACAAGAUGGCAUCAUGAGUCCGCAUGUUCACAUGAUUAAAGGUAUUCCGGUAGACGAUGGGGAUGCGUUCCAUUAGAUAGUAGGCGGGGUAACGGCCCACCUAGUCUUCGAUGGAUAGGGGUUCUGAGAGGAAGGUCCCCCACAUUGGAACUGAGACACGGUCCAAACUCCUACGGGAGGCAGCAGUGAGGAAUAUUGGUCAAUGGGCGAGAGCCUGAACCAGCCAAGUAGCGUGAAGGAUGACUGCCCUAUGGGUUGUAAACUUCUUUUAUAAAGGAAUAAAGUCGGGUAUGGAUACCCGUUUGCAUGUACUUUAUGAAUAAGGAUCGGCUAACUCCGUGCCAGCAGCCGCGGUAAUACGGAGGAUCCGAGCGUUAUCCGGAUUUAUUGGGUUUAAAGGGAGCGUAGAUGGAUGUUUAAGUCAGUUGUGAAAGUUUGCGGCUCAACCGUAAAAUUGCAGUUGAUACUGGAUAUCUUGAGUGCAGUUGAGGCAGGCGGAAUUCGUGGUGUAGCGGUGAAAUGCUUAGAUAUCACGAAGAACUCCGAUUGCGAAGGCAGCCUGCUAAGCUGCAACUGACAUUGAGGCUCGAAAGUGUGGGUAUCAAACAGGAUUAGAUACCCUGGUAGUCCACACGGUAAACGAUGAAUACUCGCUGUUUGCGAUAUACAGCAAGCGGCCAAGCGAAAGCGUUAAGUAUUCCACCUGGGGAGUACGCCGGCAACGGUGAAACUCAAAGGAAUUGACGGGGGCCCGCACAAGCGGAGGAACAUGUGGUUUAAUUCGAUGAUACGCGAGGAACCUUACCCGGGCUUAAAUUGCAGAUGAAUUACGGUGAAAGCCGUAAGCCGCAAGGCAUCUGUGAAGGUGCUGCAUGGUUGUCGUCAGCUCGUGCCGUGAGGUGUCGGCUUAAGUGCCAUAACGAGCGCAACCCUUGUUGUCAGUUACUAACAGGUUCCGCUGAGGACUCUGACAAGACUGCCAUCGUAAGAUGUGAGGAAGGUGGGGAUGACGUCAAAUCAGCACGGCCCUUACGUCCGGGGCUACACACGUGUUACAAUGGGGGGUACAGAGGGCCGCUACCACGCGAGUGGAUGCCAAUCCCCAAAACCUCUCUCAGUUCGGACUGGAGUCUGCAACCCGACUCCACGAAGCUGGAUUCGCUAGUAAUCGCGCAUCAGCCACGGCGCGGUGAAUACGUUCCCGGGCCUUGUACACACCGCCCGUCAAGCCAUGGGAGCCGGGGGUACCUGAAGUGCGUAACCGCGAGGAGCGCCCUAGGGUAAAACUGGUGACUGGGGCUAAAU
rnacentral:rRNA from 1 species